AUCCAGCUGACGAGUCCCGAAUAGGACGAAACGUGCGUCCUGGAU
rfam:Schistosoma rodhaini strain Burundi genome assembly, scaffold: SROB_scaffold0000382